CCCCCCACAAACCUGCUUCUCCUCCUUCUUCUUUUCAAAGUAAAGGACCUCACCUUUCCUCAGGUGCUCAGACAAAAGCCUUGGGGUUGUCCUUCAUUCCCCACUUUAUCUCACAGCCCCAUCCAAUCCGUCUGCAAAUCCUAUCAGUUCUAGAAUCCAGGCACUUCUUCCCACCCUCCCCGCCACCCCCUGGUGUCUGAGCCACCAUCAUAUUCUGCCUGAUUUCCUGUUUUCACCCUGCAGUCUGUCCUCCCCACAGCAGCCUUUAAACCAUCGACCAUAUCCUCACCACAGCCUAAAAAGCCCCAUGAGAUCUGGCCACCAACCUGGCCCACUUCCCCCUCCGUCUCCACCCCUGGCACCCGGGUCUAGCCACUUUGACCAUUUUGCUCCUUCUGGGUCACGACCAACUCCUUCCGGUCUCAGAACACUUGUCUGCCUGGAGUGCUGUCCCCCAGAUCUUCCCGGACUGGUCCCAUUCUCAGUGCCUGGCCACCCAUUGCUUGGCACGUAGUAGCUGCUCACUAAACCAUCUACCGAACCCACAGGGAUGGGAUGGCAGGACAAGGGCCGAGAGUAGCAGGAGUGCCACGUCACCACCAGGUGGCGCUGCAGGCACGUCCCUGGGUGGUGACUUCGUGUCCAGCCUCCUGAUUCGUCCUCUCAGCAAAGCCUCCUAGGAGCUCUUGUGCCAGGCGGUGCCAUGGGGCACCAGCUGACUCAGCCCCGGCUCUGCCUGUCCUCCGGUGGCUAUUGGUGGACGUGGUCCAGGGCAUCCACAGAAGCCUGGAAGGAAGGGAGGGCUGGCUCCCACGGCCUGAACUUCUCUGGGGAGGGAGCAGAUGUGUAGGCGUGAGGGGGUGGGAGUGGGGAGAACUGGGGUUCAGCCAGAGCAAGGUGUCUGCGAUGAAGAGUUCUGGAGAGGCCUCGACGUCGAGUCCAUCCAUUGAGCCUGGGUUUGCAUCCCACCUCCUCUGGUCCUCUGCAUGCUUUUCACAAGCCUGGCUUGACUCUGCACCUCGGUUUCCUCAUCUGUCAACAGGGGAUAAAAAUAAGAGAAAACUGAGGUUCAAAGAAAUGAAGUGACUUGGCUGAGAUCACACAGCUGGCCAGGAGGUUUCUCCGCAGUUCUUUCUCCCAGACAAGCAAGCUAAGUCAGCCAUCUCCCAACUCCUGACGGCCCUGCCCAGACAGUCUGAAGAGGCCAUCCUUCUAGGCCCAGCUUCAAGGCCACUUCUUCCUGGAGGCCUUCCCGGAUGGAUGCCCCAUCAGAAGUGGCCUUUCCCUCAGCGCUGCCUCUUGUCUCUCUGGACUUCUGAGCCACUUGGGGGCAGAAGCCCCAUGUCCAAU
ensembl:lncRNA